AUGAUUUUUAAAGCGAGUCGAGCAUUAAGCGAGGCUUGCGAAAAUAUUUAAAACCCACUCUUUUUAACUAAAAAAAUAAAUCAUGAUACAUGAAUUUGAAAAAAAAGA
rnacentral:misc_RNA from 1 species